rnacentral:rRNA from 1 species
UACAGAGGUCCCAAGCGUUGUUCGGAUUCACUGGGCGUAAAGGGUGCGUAGGUGGUCGGGUAAGUCUGAUGUGAAAUCUUCGAGCUCAACUCGAAAAUGGCAUUGGAUACUAUUCGGCUGGAGGGUUGGAAGGGGGACUGGAAUUCUCGGUGUAGCAGUGAAAUGCGUAGAUAUCGAGAGGAACACCGGUGGCGAAGGCGAGUCUCUGGACAAUCCCUGACACUGAGGCACGAAAGCGUGGGGAGCAAACAGG